rnacentral:rRNA from 1 species
GGGGUCAGUAGGUUGGUCGUGCCACCGGUACGUACUGGUCUCACUGAUUCCUCCUCCCUGAAGAACCGUAAUGCCAUUAAUUUGGUGUUGCGGGGAAACAGGACUGUUACUUUGAAAAAAUUAGAGUGUUUAAAGCAAGCUAACGCUUGAAUACAUUAGCAUGGAAUAAUGAAAUAGGACGAUCGAUCCUAUUUUGUUGGUUUCUAGGAUUGACGUA